CACGCUUUCUGUUACCACUAAUGGAAAACUCGACUCAACGUGGCUUAAAACAUAGAAGAAAUUAAUUGGUGCAUGUGCCUGAACAAGUCCGGAGUGACCACUCUGUGAUGCUCAGAUUCGCUGCUGUAGCUGAAAUCGUUUCUGGAGCAACCUUCUGGAAUUACCUGGAACAAGAAGCCCAGGCAGAUCCUGUGGGACAUUCUCAAAGGACGCAGAGGCAGCACGGAGGCCCCGGAGGAGUGGCAGGUGCACGGAGCACAGGCGAGGAGUGGAGGUGGACUUGACAGCACGGUCUUGACCGGGAGCCACUGCCCUGUGCACCCAGGGGCCUUCCCGGUCCCAUCCUCAUCCUCAGCACCUGUGACAGGGUCGUGUAGAACACAUACCAUUUUUCAUUCAUGGUUCCUGGCUCCUGACUCCCUUGGCCCUUGUUACAGGCUUUUGUUACCAUGUUGGGGUGCUGUAGGCCUCAGAAAAUGGAACCUCUCUCUCUGACCUCCCCCUGCCCUCUUUUCCUCUGCCCAAGGCAGGACUCCGAUCUUCCCCCACCUUUCUGCCUUGGAGCGGCCGUAAAGAAAUUCUCUGCCCCGCCUUGCCCGGUUGUGGGUCACGAGACCCCCAUUUCAGAAGGGGCCCUGCCCCACACCCUGGAGGAAGGAUGCUGCACACAGAGGCCAAGAAGAAUCUGAACACACAGGCCUGGCUGAGUGUCACCACUCAGCCUAUCAGUGUCGGAUCACGCCCUUUUUGUUCAACCCCGUCUACACAGUUGUCAGUCUUGCCUUUCCAAUGAGGUCUCCGUUGAAGGCCCAGGAGGGCAGGGAGUGGGGGGCUGCUGGAUGGCAGAACAGGAGGGUCACUGGAGGGUAGC